rnacentral:rRNA from 1 species
AAUAGAUACCCGGGUAGUCCACGCCGUAAACGAUGAGUGCUAAGUGUUAGAGGGUUUCCGCCCUUUAGUGCUGAAGUUAACGCAUUAAGCACUCCGCCUGGGGAGUACGGCCGCAAGGCUGAAACUCAAAGGAAUUGACGGGGGCCCGCACAAGCGGUGGAGCAUGUGGUUUAAUUCGAAGCAACGCGAAGAACCUUACCAGGUCUUGACAUCCUCUGACAACCCUAGAGAUAGGGCUUCUCCUUCGGGAGCAGAGUGACAGGUGGUGCAUGGUUGUCGUCAGCUCGUGUCGUGAGAUGUUGGGUUAAGUCCCGCAACGAGCGCAACCCUUGAUCUUAGUUGCCAUCAUUAAGUUGGGCACUCUAAGGUGACUGCCGGUGACAAACCGGAGGAAGGUGGGGAUGACGUCAAAUCAUCAUGCCCCUUAUGACCUGGGCUACACACGUGCUACAAUGGACGGUACAAAGAGCUGCAAGACCGCGAGGUGGAGCUAAUCUCAUAAAACCGUUCUCAGUUCGGAUUGUAGG